rnacentral:rRNA from 1 species
GACAGAGGUUGCAAGCGUUGUUCGGAAUUACUGGGCAUAAAGCGCACGUAGGCGGUCCGCUAAGUCAUGUGUGAAAUCCCCCGGCUCAACCGGGGAAUGGCGCCUGAUACUGGCGGACUCGAGAUCGGUAGGGGUGAGUGGAACUCCAGGUGGAGCGGUGAAAUGCGUAGAUAUCUGGAGGAACACCGGUGGCGAAAGCGACUCACCGGACCGACACUGACGCUGAGGUGCGAAAGCUAGGGUAGCAAACGGG